AUGNACGAGUCUGACGGAGCACGCCGCGUGAGUGAUGAAGGUUUUCGGAUCGUAAAACUCUGUUGUUAGGGAAGAACAAGUACCGUUCGAAUAGGGCGGUACCUUGACGGUACCUAACCAGAAAGCCACGGCUAACUACGUGCCAGCAGCCGCGGUAAUACGUAGGUGGCAAGCGUUGUCCGGAAUUAUUGGGCGUAAAGCGCGCGCAGGCGGUUUCUUAAGUCUGAUGUGAAAGCCCCCGGCUCAACCGGGGAGGGUCAUUGGAAACUGGGGAACUUGAGUGCAGAAGAGGAGAGUGGAAUUCCACGUGUAGCGGUGAAAUGCGUAGAGAUGUGGAGGAACACCAGUGGCGAAGGCGACUCUCUGGUCUGUAACUGACGCUGAGGCGCGAAAGCGUGGGGAGCGAACAGGAUUAGAUACCCUGGUAGUCCACGCCGUAAACGAUGAGUGCUAAGUGUUAGAGGGUUUCCGCCCUUUAGUGCUGCAGCAAACGCAUUAAGCACUCCGCCUGGGGAGUACGGUCGCAAGACUGAAACUCAAAGGAAUUGACGGGGGCCCGCACAAGCGGUGGAGCAUGUGGUUUAAUUCGAAGCAACGCGAAGAACCUUACCAGGUCUUGACAUCCUCUGACAACCCUAGAGAUAGGGCUUCCCCUUCGGGGGCAGAGUGACAGGUGGUGCAUGGUUGUCGUCAGCUCGUGUCGUGAGAUGUUGGGUUAAGUCCCGCAACGAGCGCAACCCUUGAUCUUAGUUGCCAGCAUUCAGUUGGGCACUCUAAGGUGACUGCCGGUGACAAACCGGAGGAAGGUGGGGAUGACGUCAAAUCAUCAUGCCCCUUAUGACCUGGGCUACACACGUGCUACAAUGGGCAGAACAAAGGGCAGCGAAGCCGCGAGGCUAAGCCAAUCCCACAAAUCUGUUCUCAGUUCGGAUCGCAGUCUGCAACUCGACUGCGUGAAGCUGGAAUCGCUAGUAAUCGCGGAUCAGCAUGCCGCGGUGAAUACGUUCCCGGGUCUUGUACACACCGACCGAUGUUAAAAAAAAACACCCCCCCUCCUGGGUGCCCGCCCAGGUGGGUUCAGUCUUAUCAAUUUUCCCCCUUCCCACCAAACAGAGGGUUUAAAAUAAAGGCGUGGGAAGGGAGGGCAGAUCCGAUACUAAAUAAGCCCCCAUGUCUUUUGGUUGAAAUGGAAAAGAAACCAUUCUUUUUACCCCGGCUGUUUCUCCACCCCGGGUUUAAUUUAAAGAAAAAAAAAGGGGGCUUUCCCCUCCUGGGUCCCCCCUCACUCAAAAAAUGGGGAAAG
rnacentral:rRNA from 1 species